rnacentral:rRNA from 1 species
GUCGAGAAUCUUUCACAAUGGGGGCAACCCUGAUGGAGCGACGCCGCGUGGAGGAUAAGGUCUUCGGAUUGUAAACUCCUGUCAUGCGUGAACAAGGUUGCUUGGUUAAUACCUGGGCAAAUUGAUGGUAACGCAAGAGGAAGAGACGGCUAACUCUGUGCCAGCAGCCGCGGUAAUACAGAGGUCUCAAGCGUUGUUCGGAAUCACUGGGCGUAAAGGGUGCGUAGGUGGCGUGGUAAGUCAGAUGUGAAAGCCCGGGGCUCAACCUCGGAACUACAUCCGAUACUGCCAUGCUAGAGUACUGGAGAGGUGACUAGAAUUCUCGGUGUAGCAGUGAAAUGCGUAGAUAUCGAGAGGAAUACCAAAGGCGUAGGCAGGUCACUGGACAGUUACUGACACUGAGGCACGAAGGCCAGGGGAGCGAACGGGAUUAGAAACCCCAGUAGUCC